rnacentral:rRNA from 1 species
UACGAAGGGGGCUAGCGUUGUUCGGAAUUACUGGGCGUAAAGCGCACGUAGGCGGGUCUGUAAGUAGGGGGUGAAAUCCCAGGGCUCAACCCUGGAACUGCCUUCUAGACCGCAGGCCUGGAGGUCAGGAGAGGCGAGUGGAAUUCCGAGUGUAGAGGUGAAAUUCGUAGAUAUUCGGAGGAACACCAGUGGCGAAGGCGACUCGCUGGACUGAUACUGACGCUGAGGUGCGAAAGCGUGGGGAGCAAACAGG